rnacentral:rRNA from 1 species
GAUGAACGCUGGCGGUUUGCUUAACACAUGCAAGUCGAACGAUGAAGCCCAGCUUGCUGGGUGGAUUAGUGGCGAACGGGUGAGUAACACGUGAGUAACCUGCCCUUGACUCUGGGAUAAGCCUGGGAAACUGGGUCUAAUACUGGAUAUGACUUCUCACCGCAUGGUGGGGGGUGGAAAGAUUUAUUGGUCUUGGAUGGACUCGCGGCCUAUCAGCUUGUUGGUGAGGUAAUGGCUCACCAAGGCGACGACGGGUAGCCGGCCUGAGAGGGUGACCGGCCACACUGGGACUGAGACACGGCCCAGACUCCUACGGGAGGCAGCAGUGGGGAAUAUUGCACAAUGGGCGCAAGCCUGAUGCAGCGACGCCGCGUGAGGGAUGACGGCCUUCGGGUUGUAAACCUCUUUCAGUAGGGAAGAAGCGAAAGUGACUGUACCUGCAGAAGAAGCGCCGGCUAACUACGUGCCAGCAGCCGCGGUAAUACGUACGGCGCGAGCGUUAUCCGGAAUUACUGGGCGUAAAGAGCUCGUAGGCGGUUUGUCGCGUCUGCCGUGAAAGUCCGGGGCUUUCCCCCGGAUCUGCGGUGGGUACGGGCAGACUAGAGUGCAGUAGGGGAGACUGGAAUUCCUGGUGUAGCGGUGAAAUGCGCAGAUAUCAGGAGGAACACCGAUGGCGAAGGCAGGUCUCUGGGCUGUAACUGACGCUGAGGAGCGAAAGCAUGGGGAGCGAACAGGAUUAGAUACCCUGGUAGUCCAUGCCGUAAACGUUGGGCACUAGGUGUGGGGGACAUUCCACGUUUUCCGCGCCGUAGCUAACGCAUUAAGUGCCCCGCCUGGGGAGUACGGCCGCAAGGCUAAAACUCAAAGGAAUUGACGGGGGCCCGCACAAGCGGCGGAGCAUGCGGAUUAAUUCGAUGCAACGCGAAGAACCUUACCAAGGCUUGACAUGUUCCUGACCGCCGUAGAGAUACGGUUUCCCCUUUGGGGCAGGUUCACAGGUGGUGCAUGGUUGUCGUCAGCUCGUGUCGUGAGAUGUUGGGUUAAGUCCCGCAACGAGCGCAACCCUCGUUCCAUGUUGCCAGCACGUAGUGGUGGGGACUCAUGGGAGACUGCCGGGGUCAACUCGGAGGGAGGUGGGGACGACGUCAAAUCAUCAUGCCCCUUAUGUCUUGGGCUUCACGCAUGCUACAAUGGCCGGUACAAUGGGUUGCGAUACUGUGAGGUGGAGCUAAUCCCAAAAAGCCGGUCUCAGUUCGGAUUGGGGUCUGCAACUCGACCCCAUGAAGUCGGAGUCGCUAGUAAUCGCAGAUCAGCAACGCUGCGGUGAAUACGUUCCCGGGCCU